rnacentral:sRNA from 1 species
AUCACACUAACACAGUAUAAUACAUGACAGAACAGGACAGAGUAGAGCAGUACAGAGCAGAGUUCAACACAUACACAGUAUAAUACAUGAAAGUMCAGGGCCGAGUAGAGCAGUACAGAGCAGAGUUCAACACACUUACACAGUAUAAAACAUGACCGGACAGGGCAGAGUAGAGCAGUACAGAGCAGAGUUCAACACAUACACAGUAUAAUACAUGAWAGUACAGGGCCGAGUAGAGCAGUACAGAGCAGAGUUCAACACACUUACACAGUAUAAAACAUGACAGAAUGGGGCAGAGUAGAGCAGUACAGAGCAGAGUUCAACACACUAACACAGAGCAAUACAUGACAGAACAGGACAGAGUAGAGCAGUACAGAGCAGAGUUCAUCACACUAACACAGUAUAAUACAUGACAGAACAUGGCAGAGUAGAGCAGUACAGAGCAGAGUUCAACACACUAACACAGAGCAAUACAUGACAGAACAGGACAGAGUAGAGCAGUACAGAGCAGAGUUUAACACACUAACACAGUAUAAUACAUGACAGAACAGGACAGAGUAGAGCAGUACAGAGCAGAGUUCAACACAUACACAGUAUAAUACAUGACAGAWCAGGACAGAGUAGAGCAGUACAGAGCAGAGUUCWACACACUAACACAGWGCAAUACAUGWCAGAWCAGGACAGAGUAGAGCAGUACAGAGCAGAGUUCAUCACACUAACACAGUANUAWUACAUGWCAGAACAUGGCAGAGUAGAGCAGUACAGAGCA